rnacentral:lncRNA from 1 species
CAUGGCUCUGGCAAGUCACUUUCCCUCUCUGGCCUGUUUCCUCACCUGUACACUGGGGGAACAGGAGGGGAGUUGGGGGCACAGGCUGAGCAGAUGAUGGCUUCUGGGAUUCGCGACAGGAAGGAUCUCCCCUGUGUCUGUCUAGAUGAACAGAAUCUUGCUGAGAGCUUGUUCAUCCCUAAUGGCAAUGGUGAUGAUGGUGAUGAUGAUGCUGAUGGUGCCAUUAGAUGAGUAUUUUAAAACUCUUUUUUUAACUUUUCUGAGAUGUUAGAGAAAAAGCCAAAAAAAGGCUUUGAGUUUCAGAAGAUCUGAGAUAUGCCUGGACCAAGAGAAGAACCAGAGGAAGGUCACAGCCACAGCCACAGAAGGUAGCAAGCACUCCCCACUGGGGACCAGGAGUGUCAGAGGGGGCAGAGAGAAAUUAUUGUUUACAUGAACCAAGGGAGACCGAAACCUGCUCAUCUGUAGCCAUUUGGUAAGGAAGUACCUGCAGCCAGGUCAGCUGAACUCCCAUAUCAGAGAUCUUAGGCCCUACGGCACUCUACGGUGACCUGACUGACCCUAGCUCAGAAUUUUCAGGCUAGGUGAAUGGAUGCCUGGAGAGGACAUUCCACCCCAAGCUGAGGCACUGGACCAGGUGACCUUCUGAUCCUGCAAGCCAUCAGUUCAAGCCAUCAGCUCUCAGCCAAUGUUUCCCAAGCAUCCGACACCCAGGGGAUUCAAAGAUGGAUGAGAGUGAGAGGAGGAAUGCGUGUGAGUCCUCAGCAUGGGGAUGGAGAAGUUUUCAGCUUCUGGGUUCAAAUCCUGGCUCUACCAUCUACCAGCUGUAUGACUUUGAGAUUGGAAACUUCCUGAGACCUCCCCAGAAGCUGAUGCCACCAUGUUUGCUGUGCAGCCUACAGAACCGUGAGCCAAUUAAACCUCUUUUCUUUAUAAAUGACCCAGUCUCAGGUAUUUCUUUCUGGCAAU